GAUGAACGCUGGCGGCGUGCCUAAUACAUGCAAGUCGAGCGAACGGACGAGAAGCUUGCUUCUCUGUUGUUAGCGGCGGACGGGUGAGUAACACGUGGAUAACCUACCUAUAAGACUGGGAUAACUUCGGGAAACCGGAGCUAAUACCGGAUAAUAUUUUGAACCGCAUGGUUCAAAAGUGAAAGACGGUCUUGCUGUCACUUAUAGAUGGAUCCGCGCUGCAUUAGCUAGUUGGUAAGGUAACGGCUUACCAAGGCAACGAUGCAUAGCCGACCUGAGAGGGUGAUCGGCCACACUGGAACUGAGACACGGUCCAGACUCCUACGGGAGGCAGCAGUAGGGAAUCUUCCGCAAUGGGCGAAAGCCUGACGGAGCAACGCCGCGUGAGUGAUGAAGGUCUUCGGAUCGUAAAACUCUGUUAUUAGGGAAGAACAUAUGUGUAAGUAAUUGUGCACAUCUUGACGGUACCUAAUCAGAAAGCCACGGCUAACUACGUG
rnacentral:rRNA from 1 species